AGCGAACGCUGGCGGCAUGCUUAACACAUGCAAGUCGCACGGUCGGGUUUCGGCUCGGCAGUGGCGGACGGGUGAGUAACGCGUAGGUAUCUGUCCUUGGGUGGGGGAUAACCACGGGAAACUGUGGCUAAUACCGCAUGACGAGCCGGGCCGGGGGUCUGGUUCCAAAGGCGCGAGUCGCCUGGGGAGGAGCCUGCGUCCGAUUAGCUAGUUGGUGGGGUAAAGGCCCAGCAAGGCUUCGAUCGGUAGCUGGUCUGAGAGGAUGAUCAGCCACACUGGGACUGAGACACGGCCCAGACUCCGACGGGAGGCAGCAGUGGGGAAUAUUGGACAAUGGGCGCAAGCCUGAUCCAGCAAUGCCGCGUGGGUGAAGAAGGUCUUCGGAUUGUAAAGCCCUUUCGGCGGGGACGAUGAUGACGGUACCCGCAGAAGAAGCCCCGGCUAACUUCGUGCCAGCAGCCGCCGUAAAAC
rnacentral:rRNA from 1 species